AUGGGUCACGCGAGCGCAGCCCUCCCCGUGAUUGACCUCGCGUCCCCGGACAUCGGCGCCGCCACCAAAUCCAUCCGGCAGGCGCUGGUGGAUUACGGCUUCUUCUACGUGAUCAACCACGGGAUCGACGACGCCCUGAUGAAGAGCGUCUACGCGGAGAGCGCCAGCUUCUUCCAGCAGCCAAUGGAGGAGAAGAUGGCGCUGCACAAGAACAGCAGCCACAGAGGCUACAUUCCGCCCGAUUUUGAAGGCUUCGAGGCUGACGCUGGUGGCAAGGGGGACCUAUUGGAGUGUUUCCACAUUGGGUCUGGGGUAGACGGCGACUCCAAGAAUCCUGUGAAUCAGUGGCCUCCUGCAGAACGCUUUCCAUAUUGGAAGGAGACAAUGAAGUCGUACUAUCAAUGUGCAAUGGGAACUAGUAAAAGGAUAUUGUCCCUAAUUGCUUUGAGUUUGGACCUUGACGCUGAAUUCUUCAAGCCAGAUGGCUCCGAAACAAUUCUUCGACCAAUUCAUUACUCAGGUCGGGCAAUUGAAUCGAAACAUGGAAGUGAUCAUGGUGCAAACGCUCAUACGGAUUAUGGAAUGUUAACUCUUCUUUCAACAGAUGGCACCCCUGGCCUGCAGAUAUGCAGGGACAAGGAUGGCCGUCCCCAGCUCUGGGAAGAUGUUCAUCACAUUGAUGGGGCACUUGUUGUGAACAUUGGUGAUUUGCUAGAAAGGUGGACAAAUAAUGUUUAUAGGUCAACCCUGCAUCGUGUUUUGAUGGUUGGCAAAGAGCGGUAUUCAGUGGCUUUCUUUGUUUGGCCAAGCCCAGAUAUGAUGGUUACAUGCAUAGAAUGUUGUUGCAGCGAGGCAAAUCCACCAAGAUACCCGCCUAUUAGGAGUGACGAAUACUUGGAGCAGAGAUUAACUUCCACAUACAAAUACAAAUAG
rnacentral:rRNA from 1 species